rnacentral:rRNA from 1 species
GACGAACGCUGGCGGCGUGCCUAAUACAUGCAAGUAGAACGCUGAAGGAGGAGCUUGCUUCUCUGGAUGAGUUGCGAACGGGUGAGUAACGCGUAGGUAACCUGCCUGGUAGCGGGGGAUAACUAUUGGAAACGAUAGCUAAUACCGCAUAAUAGUAGAUGUUGCAUGACAUUUGCUUAAAAGGUGCAAUUGCAUCACUACCAGAUGGACCUGCGUUGUAUUAGCUAGUUGGUGAGGUAACGGCUCACCAAGGCGACGAUACAUAGCCGACCUGAGAGGGUGAUCGGCCACACUGGGAAGGAGACACGGCCCAGACUCCUACGGGAGGCAGCAGUAGGGAAUCUUCGGCAAUGGACGGAAGACUGACCGAGCAACGCCGCGAGAGUGAAGAAGGUUUUCGGAUCGUAAAGCUCUGUUGUAAGAGAAGAACGAGUGUGAGAGUGGAAAGUUCACACUGUGACGGUAUCUUACCAGAAAGGGACGGCUAACUACGUG